AUUGAACGCUGGCGGCAGGCCUAACACAUGCAAGUCGAGCGGAUGAAGGGAGCUUGCUCCUGGAUUCAGCGGCGGACGGGUGAGUAAUGCCUAGGAAUCUGCCUGGUAGUGGGGGAUAACGUCCGGAAACGGGCGCUAAUACCGCAUACGUCCUGAGGGAGAAAGUGGGGGAUCUUCGGACCUCACGCUAUCAGAUGAGCCUAGGUCGGAUUAGCUAGUUGGUGGGGUAAAGGCCUACCAAGGCGACGAUCCGUAACUGGUCUGAGAGGAUGAUCAGUCACACUGGAACUGAGACACGGUCCAGACUCCUACGGGAGGCAGCAGUGGGGAAUAUUGGACAAUGGGCGAAAGCCUGAUCCAACCAUGCCGCGUGUGUGAAGAAGGCCUUCGGAUUGUAAAGCACUUUAAGUUGGGAGGAAGGGCAGUAAGUUAAUACCUUGCUGUUUUGACGUUACCAACAGAAUAAGCACCGGCUAACUUCGUG
rnacentral:rRNA from 1 species